GGUUCAGGAUGAACGCUAGCGACAGGCCUAACACAUGCAAGUCGAGGGGCAGCACAAGGAGCAAUCUGAGGUGGCGACCGGCGCACGGGUGAGUAACACGUAUGCAACCUGCCUGUAAGCGGGGAAUAACCCGUUGAAAGACGGACUAAUACCGCAUAAUACUAAAUUACUGCAUGGUAAUUUAUUUAAACAUUUAUGGCUUACAGAUGGGCAUGCGCAUGAUUAGCUAGUUGGAGAGGUAACGGCUCCCCAAGGCAACGAUCAUUAGGGGUUCUGAGAGGAAGGUCCCCCCACACUGGUACUGAGACACGGACCAGACUCCUACGGGAGGCAGCAGUGAGGAAUAUUGGUCAAUGGACGAGAGUCUGAACCAGCCAAGUCGCGUGCAGGAAGAAUGUCCUAUGGAUUGUAAACUGCUUUUGCAGGGGAAUAAAGUGCAUCACGUGUGAUGUUUUGUAUGUACUCUGCGAAUAAGGAUCGGCUAACUCCGUGCCAGCCGCCGC
rnacentral:rRNA from 1 species